CAGUCGCCGCGGGAAUACAGAGGGUGCGAGCGUUAAUCGGAUUUACUGGGCGUAAAGCGUGCGUAGGCGGCUUUUUAAGUCGGAUGUGAAAUCCCUGAGCUUAACUUAGGAAUUGCAUUCGAUACUGGGAAGCUAGAGUAUGGGAGAGGUUGGUAGAAUUCCAGGUGUAGCGGUGAAAUGCGUAGAGAUCUGGAGGAAUACCGAUGGCGAAGGCAGCCAUCUGGCCUAAUACUGACACUGAGGCACGAAAGCGUGGGGAGCAAACAGGAUUAGAUACCCGAGUAGUCCCUGUCUCUUAUAC
rnacentral:rRNA from 1 species